rnacentral:rRNA from 1 species
GCAGAAGCGCGAUCACGCGUGUUACCCGAAAGGGAAUCGGGUUAAGAUUUCCCGAGCCGGGAUGUGGCGGUUGACGGUAACGUUAGGAAGUCCGGAGACGCUGGCGGGGGCCUCGGGAAGAGUUAUCUUUUCUGCUUAACGGCCUGA